rnacentral:rRNA from 1 species
UACGAAGGGGCUAGCGUUGCUCGGAAUCACUGGGCGUAAAGGGCUCGUAGGCGGCCAACUAAGUCGGACGUGAAAUCCCCAGGCUCAACCUGGGAACUGCGUCCGAUACUGGAUGGCUUGAAUCCGGGAGAGGGAUGCGGAAUUCCAGGUGUAGCGGUGAAAUGCGUAGAUAUCUGGAGGAACACCGGUGGCGAAGGCGGCAUCCUGGACCGAGAUUGACGCUGAUGCGCGAAAGCCAGGGAGCAAACGGG